CCUACGGGAGGCUGCAGUAGGGAAUCUUCCACAAUGGGCGAAAGCCUGAUGGAGCAACGCCGCGUGGGUGAAGAAGGUCUUCGGAUCGUAAAACCCUGUUGUUAGAGAAGAAAGUGCGUGAGAGUAACUGUUCACGUUUCGACGGUAUCUAACCAGAAAGCAACGGCUAACUACGUGCCAGCAGCCGCGGUAAUACGUAGGUGGCAAGCGUUAUCCGGAUUUAGUGGGCGUAAGGGGAACGCAGGCGGUCUUUUAAGUCUGAUGUGAAAGCCGUCGGCUUAACCGGAGUAGUGCAUUGGAAAGUGGGAGAAUUGAGUGCAGAAGAGGAGAGUGGAACUCAAGGUGUAGCGGUGAAAUGCGUAGAUAUAUGGAAGAAAACCAGUGGCGAAAGCGGCUCUCUGGUCUGUAACUGACGCUGAGGUUCGAAAGCGUGGGUAGCAAACAGGAUUAGAUACCCAAGUAGUC
rnacentral:rRNA from 1 species